rnacentral:rRNA from 1 species
GAUGAACGCUGGCGGCGUGCCUAAUACAUGCAAGUCGAGCGAACAGACGAGGAGCUUGCUCCUCUGACGUUAGCGGCGGACGGGUGAGUAACACGUGGAUAACCUACCUAUAAGACUGGGAUAACUUCGGGAAACCGGAGCUAAUACCGGAUAAUAUAUUGAACCGCAUGGUUCAAUAGUGAAAGACGGUUUUGCUGUCACUUAUAGAUGGAUCCGCGCCGCAUUAGCUAGUUGGUAAGGUAACGGCUUACCAAGGCAACGAUGCGUAGCCGACCUGAGAGGGUGAUAGGCCACCCUGGAAGUGAGACACGGUCCAGACUCCUACGGGAGGCAGCAGUAGGGAAUCUUCCGCAAUGGGCGAAAGCCCGACGGAGCAACGCCGCGUGAGUGAUGAAGGUCUUCGGAUCGUAAAACUCUGUUAUUAGGGAAGAACAAAUGUGUAAGUAACUAUGCACGUCUUGACGGUACCUAAUCAGAAAGCCACGGCUAACUACGUG